GGAGAAAUACUCAAGAGGUCGAAGAGGCGCCCCUGCUAAGGGUGUAGGUCGGGCAACCGGCGCGAGGGUUCAAAUCCCUCUUUCUCCG
rnacentral:tRNA from 1 species